CCCUUAGACGUUCUGGGCCGCACGCGCGCUACACUGACACAGGCAACGAGCUUUCCUUUACCGAAAGGUAUGGGUAAUCUUUUGAAACUGUGUCGUGCUGGGGAUAGAUCCUUGCAAUUUUUGAUCUUAAACGAGGAAUUCCUAGUAAGCGCGAGUCAUCAACUCGCGUUGAUUACGUCCCUGCCCUUUGUACACACCGCCCGUCGCUACUACCGAUUGAAUGGCUUAGUGAGGCCUCAGGAUCCGCGCUUAAUGUGUGGAGAAUUUGGACAAACUACGUCAUUUAGAGGAAGUAAAAGUCAUAACA
rnacentral:rRNA from 1 species